ACUCCUACGGGAGGCAGCAGUAGGGAAUCUUCCACAAUGGACGCAAGUCUGAUGGAGCAACGCCGCGUGAGUGAAGAAGGGUUUCGGCUCGUAAAGCUCUGUUGUUGGUGAAGAAGGACAGGGGUAGUAACUGACCUUUGUUUGACGGUAAUCUAAUUAGAAAGUCACG
rnacentral:rRNA from 1 species